AUACGUAGGUGGCAAGCGUUGUCCGGAAUUAUUGGGCGUAAAGCGCGCGCAGGCGGUCCUUUAAGUCUGAUGUGAAAGCCCACGGCUCCACCGUGGAGGGUCAUUGGAAACUGGGGGACUUGAGUGCAGAAGAGGAAAGUGGAAUUCCAAGUGUAGCGGUGAAAUGCGUAGAGAUUUGGAGGAACACCAGUGGCGAAGGCGACUGUCUGGUCUGUAACUGACACUGAGGCGCGAAAGCGUGGGGAGCAAACAGGAUUAGAUACCCUGGUAGUCCACGCCGUAAACGAUGAGUGCUAAGUGUUGGGGGGUUUCCGCCCCUCAGUGCUGCAGCUAACGCAUUAAGCACUCCGCCUGGGGAGUACGGUCGCAAGACUGAAACUCAAAGGAAUUGACGGGG
rnacentral:rRNA from 1 species